rnacentral:lncRNA from 1 species
AUUAAGAAAAAAAAAUUCAUGUGUAUUCAUUUACUAAUAAAACGAAUAUAAACGAACUUCCCUUCAAACGAAUCACAAACGAUUCGUUAAAUGUUUUGUUCCUUUACAUCUCUACAUAAAUAUAUUUAAACUAAAUUAAGAUGUUUUGUUCCUUUACAUCUCUACAUAAAUAUAUUUAAACUAAAUUAAGAUGUUUUGUUCCUUUACAUCUCUACAUAAAUAUAUUUAAACUAAAUUAAGAGUAUCCUUUGUUAGAACUUUUAAACUACAUAUAAGAAACAUAUAUUUCUAAAUUAUUCUAGUAAGAAUCUUAGAUUUUAGAAUCUACCAACCACAUUUAUACGUUGACUUUUUUAAGUUGACAUAUAGAAAAAGUACUCUUUCUAUGGUUAAGAAUACAUAUGUCGGUACUUUUUUUAAAGAGUGGUAUCUGAAAGUCAAUUUAUAAAGAUAUAUGUUCUUUUAAAACCAAGCAUGUAUCCAUCGUCUUUAUUAUUUGAUUGAUUAUUCCUAUAGUUUCACGAAGUCCGAUGGCAUAUAGGACCGCUAGGACCAUAUAGAUUCAUUUAGGUGCAAAAAUUUGAGAUCACACUACAGAUGUUUUAGAAAUACUUAGCAUUCUUUUUUUGAAUUCUGUUAAGUAGUAAUUUUUCCACAUCAAAA